UACUAGAGUAGCACUCGCAUAUCAAUAAGCGGAGGAAAAGAAACUAACAAGGAUUCCCCUAGUAACGGCGAGUGAAGCGGGAAGAGCUCAAAUUUGAAAUCUUAAAGGGUUUCCCUUUACGAAUUGUAGUUUAAAGAAGUGUUUUCUGUUGAGGUUUUGGUAAAAGUUCUUUGGAAUAGGACAUCAUAGAGGGUGAGAAUCCCGUAUUUGACCUUUACUUUCAACUUUGUGAUACACUUUCAAAGAGUCGGAUUGUUUGGGAAUGCAGUCCAAAAUGGGUGGUAAAUUUCAUCUAAAGCUAAAUAUUGGCGAGAGACCGAUAGCGAACAAGUACCAGUGAGGGAAAGAUGAAAAGAACUUUGAAAAGAGAGUUAAACAGUACGUGAAAUUGUCAAAAGGGAAGCGUUUGACACCAGUGUUGUUUUUCUGAAAAUCAAUUAAAGAACUGUUUAUGCUAAGCUGUUUAGACUUUAUCAGCUAAUCUGUUUAGUUUUGAGCUUUUCUUUAAUGCACUUUUCAGUUAACAAGUCAACAUCAAUUUCUUUUGCUGUAAAAAAGCUUGAGGAAGGUGGCUUGAGAUUCGUCUUAAGUGUUUAUAGCCUCUUGCCUAUGCAGUCGGAGAGAUUGAGGUCUGCAGCGUAGAUCCUUCGGGGCUAAAUGCAUUUGUGCUAAGUUAUAACAUUUUAUAGACAACUUGUUGACUAUGAUUUGUCUUGUAGCUUACUCGCUUAUGUUAUUUUACCUACGCUUAGGAUGUUGAGCGCAUGUCUCUCUCU
rnacentral:rRNA from 1 species